rnacentral:tRNA from 1 species
GGCCCCGUGGCUUAGCCUGGUAGAGCGCACGACUGAUAACCGAUGAUUGAAAUCGUGAGGUCCCGUGUUCAAAUCACGGCGGGGCCA